rnacentral:rRNA from 1 species
CGUGGUGAAUACGUUCCCGGACCUUGUACACACCGCCCGUCAAGCCAUGGAAGCUGGGUGUACCUAAAGUCGGUAACCGUAAGGAGCCGCCUAGGGUAAAACUAGUAACUGGGGCU